rnacentral:rRNA from 1 species
CGCUAGUGUUGGAGGGUUUCCGCCCUUCAGUGCUGCAGCUAACGCAUUAAGCACUCCGCCUGGGGAGUACGACCGCAAGGUUGAAACUCAAAGGAAUUGACGGGGGCCCGCACAAGCGGUGGAGCAUGUGGUUUAAUUCGAAGCAACGCGAAGAACCUUACCAGGUCUUGACAUCCUUUGACCACUCUAGAGAUAGAGCUUCCCCUUCGGGGGCAAAGUGACAGGUGGUGCAUGGUUGUCGUCAGCUCGUGUCGUGAGAUGUUGGGUUAAGUCCCGCAACGAGCGCAACCCUUAUUGUUAGUUGCCAUCAUUCAGUUGGGCACUCUAGCAAGACUGCCGGUGACAAACCGGAGGAAGGUGGGGAUGACGUCAAAUCAUCAUGCCCCUUAUGACCUGGGCUACACACGUGCUACAAUGGGAAGUACAACGAGUUGCGAAGUCGCGAGGCUAAGCUAAUCUCUUAAAGCUUCUCUCAGUUCGGAUUGCAGGCUGCAACUCGCCUGCAUGAAGCCGGAAUCGCUAGUAAUCGCGGAUCAGCACGCCGCGGUGAAUACGUUCCCGGGCCUUGUACACACCGCCCGUCACACCACGAGAGUUUGUAACACCCGAAGUCGGUGAGGUAACCUUUUUGGAGCCAGCCGCCUAAGGUGGGAUAGAUGAUUGGGGUGAAGUCGUAACAAGGUAGCCGUAUCGGAAGGUGCGGCUGGAUCAACCUCCUAUGAGGGGAGGAC